rnacentral:rRNA from 1 species
AUUGAACGCUGGCGGCAUGCUUUACACAUGCAAGUCGAACGGUAACAGGUUAAGCUGACGAGUGGCGAACGGGUGAGUAAUGCAUCGGAACGUGCCCGGUCGUGGGGGAUAACGCAGCGAAAGCUGCGCUAAUACCGCAUACGAUCUGAGGAUGAAAGCGGGGGACCGUAAGGCCUCGCGCGAUCGGAGCGGCCGAUGUCAGAUUAGGUAGUUGGUGGGGUAAAGGCUCACCAAGCCAACGAUCUGUAGCUGGUCUGAGAGGACGACCAGCCACACUGGAAGUGAGACACGGCCCAGACGCCUACGGGAGGCAGCAGUGGGGAAUUUUGGACAAUGGGCGAAAGCCUGAUCCAGCAAUGCCGCGUGCAGGAAGAAGGCCUUCGGGUUGUAAACUGCUUUUGUACGGAGCGAAAAGGUCUCCUCUAAUACAGGGGGCUCAUGACGGUACCGUAAGAAUAAGCACCGGCUAACUACGUGCCAGCAGCCGCGGUAA